rnacentral:rRNA from 1 species
UACGAAGGGGGCUAGCGUUGCUCGGAAUCACUGGGCGUAAAGCGCACGUAGGCGGACUCUUAAGUCGGUGGUGAAAUCCUGGAGCUCAACUCCAGAACUGCCUUUGAUACUGAAGAUCUUGAGUUCGGGAGAGGUGAGUGGAACUGCGAGUGUAGAGGUGAAAUUCGUAGAUAUUCGCAAGAACACCAGUGGCGAAGGCGGCUCACUGGCCCGAUACUGACGCUGAGGCACGAAAGCGUGGGGAGCAAACAGGG